UACGUAGGGGCUAGCGUUGUCCGGAAUCAUUGGGCGUAAAGCGCGUGUAGGCGGUCCGGUAAGUCCGCUGUGAAAGUCGAGGGCUCAACCCUCGAAUGCCGGUGGAUACUGUCGGGCUAGAGUGCCGAAGAGGCGAGUGGAAUUCCUGGUGUAGCGGUGAAAUGCGCAGAUAUCAGGAGGAACACCUAUUGCGAAGGCAGCUCGCUGGGACGUUACUGACGCUGAGACGCGAAAGCGUGGGGAGCAAACAGG
rnacentral:rRNA from 1 species